GCUGUGUCGGUGUUGAAUUGAGGGAAGCAGUGGAAAUAAGGAAGCUGAAUGAUCAGUGUGCUUUGUUUGACAUCGUUGGUAACUCAAUACUCCUGGCUCAAGGGGGAGGAAUCCGUGCCUGGAGAUUGGAGAAAGCUCAGAUCCCAACAGGAGAAUGUGCUUUGAGAAGGGCUGGGUUGAAAAUUUGGGAUGUCAGAAAUCAGAUCCCGGAUUGAAAUCUGUGGCUUUCAGAGCUGUGGGAUUCCUGGAAAAAAUCCAAUUCAGAGCUGUGGAAUCCCAGAAUUUUGUGGGUUGGAGAGACCUUAAAGAUCCAGGAUGCUCCAAGUCCAGCCUAACCUUGGACAUUCCAGGGAUCCAGGGGCUGGAAUUCCUUCCCAAAUCCCAUCCAUCCCUUCUCUCUGGCACUGGGAAACCAUUCCCUGUGUCCUCUCCUUCCAGACCUUUCCCAAAUUCUAGCUCUCCUGGAGCCCCUUUAUCUCCUGGAAUGUUCUGGAAGCUCUCCCUGGAUCUUUCCCUUCUCCAGGAGAACAUUCCCAGCUCUCCCAGCCUGGCUCUGGAGCAGAGGGAAACCUUUGGAGCAGCUCCAGCUUCCUCUGCUGCCGACCCCAGAGCUGGAUCCGGCCGCAGGUGGAAUCUCACCAGGGCAGAGCAGAGGGAGAAUCCAGAGGAAGGAAAAGUUGGGAUUUACCCCAGGAAUUGUUCAACAGAAGAUCCUUGGAUAUAAAAAUAACAAAACCUGCUCAAAGGGAGAAACUCUGAGGGUGCUGUGAGAAUUCCUCACUUGAGGAAAACCAGGAUUUUAAUUUUGGAAUAAUUUUAGCCCAGAAUUCUCAACAAGUUUGCAACAAAUCAAAUGCUAAAAAUCCACCUCUUGCUACUCCUCACUGCUUUUAUAACCUUUUUAACUUGUAAAAAUCCCUUUUUUUUUUUUUCCUGGUGUUCUGCAGAGCUGGAGGAGCCUGAGGGAAGUUGGGAAAAAUGGGAAUAAAGGGAAAAUAGGGAUAAAUAUUCCUUAAAGC
rnacentral:lncRNA from 1 species